UACGAAGGGUGCAAGCGUUAUUCGGAAUUACUGGGCGUAAAGCGCACGUAGGCGGCUUUGUAAGUAAGAGGUGAAAGCCCAGAGCUCAACUCUGGAAUUGCCUUUGAGACUGCAUCGCUAGAAUUGUGGAGAGGUAAGUGGAAUUCCGAGUGUAGAGGUGAAAUUCGUAGAUAUUGGGAAGAACACCGGUGGCGAAGGCGGCGACCUGGUCCAUUACUGACGCUGAGGCGCGACAGCGUGGGGAGCAAGCAGG
rnacentral:rRNA from 1 species